ensembl:snoRNA LOC120096396 small nucleolar RNA SNORA17
GCUGCCCCUAGAGACUUCUCAGGUAUGGUUGCUGUGUCACAUGUGUGUUGGUAGGUGGCAAAGAGGAGAGGGGCUAUGCCUAUGAUCAGUGUUCUGAUCUGUAACAUCUGACUGAACAGUAGCCUAACAAU